UAGUGAUAGUCAUAAAUAAUUAUACAUAAAAUGGUGUUACAGUGCUUGUACUUAUUUAAAAAAUAAAGUGUGUUGGCUGGCAAACAAUAAAAUGCAUCAAACUCAAUGAAGAUUUUUCGAUUUGUUUCUGUUCGCACCAAAAAUCUGAUGAUAACUUGGAUUUGAUGAUAACUUGGAUUUGAUGAUAACUUGGAUUUGAUGAUAACUUGAGAUGACAUGGAAUGAAAAUGCGCUUAAGUACGUUCCAUGAUAAAGCAUUACAGCACAAGAACAUGUGAGGUCAAUACUAUCACCCCGUUUGGGCUUGACGUCAAG